rnacentral:rRNA from 1 species
UGGGGAAUUUUGGACAAUGGGGGAAACCCUGAUCCAGCCAUCCCGCGUGUGCGAUGAAGGCCUUCGGGUUGUAAAGCACUUUUGGCAGGAAAGAAACGUCGCGGGUUAAUACCCCGCGAAACUGACGGUACCUGCAGAAUAAGCACCGGCUAACUACGUGCCAGCAGCCGCGGUAAUACGUAGGGUGCAAGCGUUAAUCGGAAUUACUGGGCGUAAAGCGUGCGCAGGCGGUUCGGAAAGAAAGAUGUGAAAUCCCAGAGCUUAACUUUGGAACUGCAUUUUUGAACUACCGGGGCUAGAGUGUGUCAGAGGGAGGUGGAAUUCCGCGUGUAGCAGUGAAAUGCGUAGAUAUGCGGAGGAACACCGAUGGCGAAGGCAGCCUCCUGGGAUAACACUGACGCUCAUGCACGAAAGGCGUGGGGGAGCAAAGCAGGAUUAGAUACCCCUGGUAGUCCACGCCCCUAAACGAUGUCAACUAGCUGUUGGGGCCCUUCGGGCCUUGGUAGCGCAGCUAA